rnacentral:rRNA from 1 species
GAUGAACGCUGGCGGCGUGCUUAACACAUGCAAGUCGAACGGGAACCCUUUUAUUGAAGCUUCGGCAGAUUUAGCUGGUUUCUAGUGGCGGCCGGGUGAGUAACGCGUGGGUAACCUGCCUUAUACAGGGGGAUAACAACCAGAAAUGGUUGCUAAUACCGCAUAAGCGCACAGGACCGCAUGGUCCGGUGUGAAAAACUCCGGUGGUAUAAGAUGGACCCGCGUUGGAUUAGCUAGUUGGCAGGGUAACGGCCUACCAAGGCGACGAUCCAUAGCCGGCCUGAGAGGGUGAGCGGCGACAUUGGGACUGAGACACGGCCCAGACUCCUACGGGAGGCAGCAGUGGGGAAUAUUGCACAAUGGGGGAAACCCUGAUGCAGCGACGCCGCGUGAAGGAAGAAGUAUCUCGGUAUGUAAACGUCUAUAAGCAGGGAAGAUAGUGACGGUACCUGACUAAGAAGCCCCGGCUAACUACGUG